GUGUCCAUCUCUUCACAGUCAUGGCUGAUCUUGUCAUCCACUUUUGGGAGAUUCUCCUGUAUCUGGGCAGGGUAUGCCUUCUCUACAUCAGGAUCUCAUUCCCAUCACCCAGAAUGCAGUGCUGUGGCACGAUCACAGCUCUCUGCAGCCUCAAUUUCCCAGGCUCAAGCAAUUCUCCCACCUCAGCCUCCCGAGAAGCUGGAACUACAGGAAUGUGCCACCGCAUCGGGCUAAUGUUUUGUAUUUUUGGUAGAGACAGGGUUUAGCCAUGUUGCCCAGGCUGGUCUCGAAUUCUUGGGCUCAAGCAAUCCUCUCACCUCAGCCUCCUAAAGUGCUUGGACUAGAGGUGCAAAUCACCAUGCCUGACCCUUUAUCUCUACUUUUGGCCAGAAGCAAUCCAGUUAACACUCUAUCAUAUAUUAUUCCUCCUACUGUUUUCUCCUCUCUAAAUUCUUCAGCUUUGGCUGUUUGCCCAUUAGUCACUGCCUGGGAGUUUUCAACUUUUAAAAUUUGUGACAACAUUGUUAGGUCAUUAAGAUGGGUCCUCAUCCGAUGUAACUGGCGUUCUUACAAGAAGCAGGGAAAUGACGUGGCGGAGACACAGGAGGGGGAAAUACCGCGUGAUGAUGGAGUUAAAGACAGGAGUUAUGCAGCUGCAAGCCAAGAACACCAAGGGCUGCUGGUGACAGCAAGCGAGGAGGGAGCCUGGCCCUGCUGGCAUCUUGAUUCAGACUUCCAGCCCCUACCACUCUGAGAGAAUAAAUUCCUGUUGUUUUAAGCCACCCAGUUUAGGGUGCUUUGUUGCAGCCGCCUUAAGAAAGGAAUACAUCGUAUCAUUCCCAGAAACUGCUUGAGUCCCAGGGUUUGAGACUGGAAAGUGCUGAGCCUCCCUCACUACCAGAUGCCACCUUGGCGAGGAAUGCAGGGUGUUGGUUUCCAAGGCUGCUGCUGGUGAGGUGGACAGUGGAGGAUGAUAAUAGGAUGAGAAAUUGGGGUUUUUCAGAUGUGAUUCCGUUGUCCAAGAUUCUUAAGAUGAAAACAAAGUUGAUAUCUCACUCACUUCGAUUUGAUGCACUUUACCUUCCAUAGCAAAUAUUUAUUACAUCCGACAAGACAAAGGCAACGGGCAGAAAAGUGUACAGCCAUUUCUGUCACACUGAGAAUCAAGCCUGGAUUGCCUCCAGUGAGAAGAUGAUACAGGACUAUUAUAAGGACAAGAUUUUUCAGGAUAAGACACAGUUCUCAUGUGUUCAGACAGAUUGCUUUUCAAAUCACUCUGUAUAGGGAUGGGUUAAACCCAGCUCUAAAAUAAAUAUUUAUAUGCCCUAAA